rnacentral:rRNA from 1 species
UACGUAGGUGGCAAGCGUUGUCCGGAAUUAUUGGGCGUAAAGCGCGCGCAGGCGGUCCUUUAAGUCUGAUGUGAAAGCCCACGGCUCAACCGUGGAGGGUCAUUGGAAACUGGGAGACUUGAGUGCAGAAGAGAGGAGUGGAAUUCCACGUGUAGCGGUGAAAUGCGUAGAGAUGUGGAGGAACACCAGUGGCGAAGGCGACUCUUUGGUCUGUAACUGACGCUGAGGCGCGAAAGCGUGGGGAGCAAACAGG